AGAGUUUGAUCAUGGCUCAGGAUGAACGCUAGCGGCAGGCCUAACACAUGCAAGUCGAGGGGCAGCACGGGCAGCAAUGCCUGGUGGCGACCGGCGCACGGGUGAGUAACGCGUAUGCAACCUGCCCUCCGCAGGGGGAUAGCCCGCCGAAAGGCGGAUUAAUACCCCAUUGACCCCGAUGGCGGCAUCGCCGACGGGGUAAAGGAGCAAUCCGGCGGGGGAUGGGCAUGCGUGCCAUUAGCUAGUUGGCGGGGUAACAGCCCACCAAGGCGACGAUGGCUCGGGGGUCUGAGAGGAUGGUCCCCCACACUGGUACUGAGACACGGACCAGACUCCUACGGGAGGCAGCAGUGAGGAAUAUUGGUCAAUGGGCGGAAGCCUGAACCAGCCAUGCCGCGUGCAGGAAGACGGCCCUACGGGUUGUAAACUGCUUUUCCGGGGGAAGAAUAAGGGCGAUGCGUCGUCCGAUGCCGGUACCCCGGGAAUAAGGAUCGGCUAACUCCGUGCCAGCAGCCGCGGUAAUACGGAGGAUCCGAGCGUUAUCCGGAUUUACUGGGUUUAAAG
rnacentral:rRNA from 1 species